rnacentral:rRNA from 1 species
CCUACGGGAGGCAGCAGUGGGGAAUAUUGGGCAAUGGGCGCAAGCCUGACCCAGCAACGCCGCGUGAAGGAAGAAGGCUUUCGGGUUGUAAACUUCUUUUGACAGGGAAGAGUAGAAGACGGUACCUGUCGAAUAAGCCACGGCUAACUACGGGCCAUCAGCCACGGUAAUACGUAGGUGGCAAGCGUUGUCCGGAUUUACUGGGUGUAAAGGGCGUGUAGCCGGGUUGACAAGUCAGAUGUGAAAUCCUGCGGCUUAACCGCAGAACUGCAUUUGAAACUGUUGAUCUUGAGUACUGGAGAGGCAGGCGGAAUUCGUAGUGUAGCGGUGAAAUGCGUAGAUAUUAGGAAGAACGCCGGUGGCGAAGGCAGUCUGCUGGACAGCAACUGACAGUGAGGCGCGAAAGCGUGGGGAGCAAACAGGAUUAGAUACCCUUGUAGUC